UCGAGCAAUAACCAAUAGCUAGUAGCAAUAGUUUUCCCGGAUUAAUAUAUAUCUCUCUCUCUCGGAAAGCGAUAUUUGCAGAGCCAAGAUGGUGGAGAAUGGUUUUCAUGAAGUUGAAAAUGAUAAGGCUGAUGUUCAAUCGGUUAAGGUAGGCCCUGGGCAACCUGCACAAUUGACUUGGCAACGGAAAAUAAAUAGUGAAGGAAAUGUUCCUUCAGAAUUCACCCUGACUAUGCUUGAGAAGCUGCAAAUGGCUCAUAUUGGUUUCCGACUAUGGCGUCAUUGCAAAGAAGAAGCCACGAAAGGACGGGUGGCAACAAUCGAUCCUUUCAAUAAACGCAUCAUAAAUACAUCUUCUAUUGGCGUCCCCUUAGGGGGAAUGGGUGCAGGGAGUAUUGGAAGAAGCUACAGAGGUGAUUUUCAGCGCUGGCAACUAUUCCCUGAAAUCUGUGAAGAAAAACCUGUCUUAGCAAAUCAAUUUUCUGUUUUUAUUUCACGUCCAGAUGGUAAAAAAUAUUCUACUGUGUUGUCACCAGGGAGUCCAGAGAUGCUCAAACGAUGUGCCAUUUCAGGCAUCGGAUCCUGGGACUGGAAACUAAGCGGGCAACAUUCAACUUAUCAUGCAUUGUUUCCUAGGGCUUGGACUAUACACGAGGGUGAACCUGACCCAGAACUUAAAAUAAUCUGCCGUCAGAUUUCUCCAUUUAUUCCCCACAAUUAUAAGGAGAGCAGCUUCCCUGUAGCAGUAUUUACAUACACGCUAACCAAUUUGGCAAAGGCUGCUGCAGAUGUCACCUUGCUUUUCACAUGGGCGAAUUCUGUAGGCGGGAAUUCUGAAUUUUCUGGUAAUCAUAGCAAUUCAAAAUUAGUGAUGAAGGAUGGAGUUCGUGGAGUUCUUUUGCAUCACAAAACUGCAAAUGGACUAUCGCCCAUAACAUUUGCCAUAGCAGCACAAGAAACUCAAGACGUUCAUGUUUCUGAAUGUCCUUGUUUCUUGAUAUCUGGAGAUUGUCAGGGUUUUUCAGCAAGAGACAUGUGGCAUGAAAUUAAAGAGCAUGGCUCCUUUGACCAACUUGAUUGCACGGAAAGAUCAAUGCCAUCAGCACCUGGAUCAUCUAUUGGAGCAGCCAUAGCAGCUUCUGUUACUGUCCCGUCUCAGACAGUCCGGACUGUUACAUUUUCAUUGGCAUGGGAUUGCCCUGAAAUAAAAUUUCCCGGUGGAAAGACCUAUCACAGGCGCUAUACCAAAUUUUAUGGCACUCAUGGUGAUGCAGCAGCAAAUCUUGUACAUGAUGCUAUUCUUGAGCAUGGAAAUUGGGAGUCCCAGAUUGAAGCAUGGCAAAGACCUCUUCUGCAGGACAAAAAUCUUCCAGAAUGGUAUCGUAUUACUCUCUUCAAUGAGCUCUACUUCCUUAAUGCCGGAGGGACGGUUUGGACAGAUGGGUUGGCACCAGUUCAGAAUCUAGUAACCAUUGGAGAGAGAAAGUUCUCCCUUGAUAAGCCCACUUCGGAUAAUAAAAACUCUUCCUUUAUCCUCCCUCAAAAUGAUACUGCUGUUGAUAUCCUUGACAGGAUGACAUCUGUACUUGAGGAAAUACACAGUCCAGCCACAUCAGCUUCUGCUAUUGGAACAUCAUUGCUUCAAGAAGGAGAGGAAAACAUUGGUCAGUUCCUCUAUCUUGAAGGGAUUGAAUAUCACAUGUGUAACACUUAUGAUGUCCAUUUCUAUUCAUCAUUUGCGUUGCUCAUGCUAUUCCCAAAACUCGAACUGAGCAUCCAAAGAGACUUUGCGGUGGCAGUUAUGAUGCAUGAUCCUGGGAAAAUGGAAAUCAUAUCCGAUUGCAAGUUGGUGCCAAGAAAGGUUCUUGGUGCUGUUCCUCAUGAUCUUGGACAAAAUGACCCAUGGUUCGAAGUAAAUGCUUACAACCUUUAUGACACAAACAGAUGGAAAGACUUGAAUCCUAAAUUCGUUCUCCAAGUUUACAGAGACGUUGUUUCAACUGGUGAUAAGUCAUUUGCCCAGGCUGUUUGGCCUUCAGUUUAUACGGCAAUGGCAUACAUGGAACAGUUUGAUAAGGAUGGAGAUGGAAUGAUUGAAAACGAAGGUUUUCCUGAUCAGACUUAUGAUGCAUGGUCAGUGAGUGGUGUGAGUGCAUAUACUGGUGGGCUUUGGGUGGCAGCUUUGCAGGCUGCUUCAGAAAUGGCACACCUAGUGGGUGACAAGGCUUCCGGGGAUUAUUUUUGGGCCAAGUUUCAAAUGGCAAAGACUGUAUACAAGAAGUUGUGGAAUGGCUCUUAUUUCAAUUAUGAUGACAGCGGCGGAUCUUCAAGUUCGUCUAUUCAGGCUGAUCAGUUAGCUGGACAAUGGUAUGCGAGGGCAUGUGGUCUUUUGCCGAUUGUUGAUGACGACCAAGCAAAAAGCGCACUAACAAAGGUUUACAAUUUCAACGUUUUAAAGGUGAAGGAUGGAAAGCUAGGGGCGGUGAAUGGUAUGCGACCUGAUGGAAGUGUUGACAAAACAGCAAUGCAGUCAAGAGAGAUCUGGUCAGGAGUGACAUAUUCUGUUGCUGCUGGUAUGAUCCAUGAAGGCAUGGUGGAAACAGCAUUUAGAACCGCACGUGGAAUCUAUGAAGCCGCCUGGUCCCAAGAAGGGCUUGGGUAUUCUUUUCAAACUCCAGAAGGAUGGAACACAGAUGGUGAGUACAGAUCGCUAUGUUACAUGCGCCCUCUGGCUAUUUGGGCAAUGCAAUGGGCGUUGUCGCCACCAAAGCUCUUCAAGGAGCCAAGACCAGUUACAGAGGAAAAUCCAUCAUUUAAACCCCAUGCAGGAUUCUCCAGGGUCGCACGGUUUCUAAGAUUGCCAGAGGAAGAAGCUCAUAGAAGCUUCCUUGGGGCUCUUUAUGAUUGCACUUGCAGGAGGCUGCGGAUCUGAUCCAGACUUCUAGAAGCCUCUGGAAGCUUCAGGCCUCUCAAAAGCAAAAUUUUAAAAAUAGAGAGAUCAUGAAGUUUCUAGAAGCAUUCUUGGUGAUUCAAGAAGAUAUUUGAUAUUAGCAACAAAUUUCAGGCUGUGUUUGGAUAUGUGAGCAGAUUGGAUUGGAAACAUUUGCCUUAAUAAGAGGUGACAAAAUGUUGUUUCCAGGUAUUUGUGAAAUUGCAGUCAUGUUUUCUUUCACAUCCAACUUGAGAGUAGCUGGGUUGCAAUUUGAAGCAAGAUACUCAAUAUGAACUGUAAGGACUUGCGCAAUUCAAGUUGUCUUUGGGUUUAUUGUUUGGUCUUAAGACUUGCCUGAGUCUGGUGCAACUCGUCCGAGUUGACUCACCUGAGUCGGGCCUAUUCAGCCCCAAACCAGGUGAGUCAUGACUCAACACUACAAGGUUGAGUCACCGAGUCUUUUAACACCAGUUUAGUGUCUGAGGUCGUCGUUGGUUAUUGAUUUGAGGGAUUAUGGGGCGUGUUUGGGCGGUGGGAUUAGGUGGGCGUAAGUGGGAGUGGGUUUCGAAAUCCCACUCUUCCAGGCACCGGCUGUUUGGCGACGGGCUCAAGGUGGAAUUGAUGGGAUUUCUUGGAUAUCGUGCCGGCAUUGAAGAGGAUCGACUUCAGAUGCACGGGAUUGCAAAGGAUUGGAGGGAUGGAAGCAAAUCCCACCUAAUCCCGCCUCGGAAAUCUUGCGCCGACCCUGCCAUCUCCGUCUUGGGCUGAUGGCCGACAUUAUUCUUCCCUAGUGACGCUGGUAGGGGUUAACGGCUAUAAAAAUGGAGGUGGGGAAGAGGGACUUCCGGACCAUCUCAUCUUCUCUGUAAGGAAUCCCUUUUCCUUCUUCUCUCAGUUUUUAUUUUCAUUACCCCUUUCCGUCCAUUGACCCUUUUCUGCAAACCCUUCCUACUAAUAGGUGGGAAGUGGACGAUCGGUAGGUGGUGUAGCCAGCUACCCGAACUCAAUCAAGGGAAUCCUCAAAUCUCAGUAUGUUGUAUGUAGAUGAUUUUGCAUUUUGAAAAUGGUUGUGAAAGAGGGGGGGAAAUGCUGAUUUGAAUGGAAAUUUGCGUUCUGAAAAUGGUUGUAUUUGGGGUAAAUGUUGAAUUGAUUGGAAUUUUUAAAUUUCUGUUUACGAUAUACACUGGCAUUUUAUAUAGGGAUAUGUAAUAUACAUAAGAGCAAAUUUGAUUAAGUGAU